CACCUGGAGACAAGCCUCAAGCCACACCUACAAGAAAUGACCCACGAUCAAAUGCCUACAACAUGCUCAUAUGGUGCGCCACACGAUAGGAUUUAUGACAUGCAUAUCAUGGGUUGUAAUGUACCAUAGAAGAAAGUACAGUGUCAAAAUUGGAGGUGCACCGUGAAAUAUUUACGGAGUGAAGACAGUUGCGGCUCUGAUUGGUAGUAGGCCGAGAUUUGUGACAUUGAUUAUCUGUGCUAAUACUCUUAUCCACUGUCAAUAAAUAAAUACACUUUUAUUUGUUA